rnacentral:rRNA from 1 species
UAGGGAAUCUUCGGCAAUGGGGGGAACCCUGACCGAGCAACGCCGCGUGAGUGAAGAAGGUUUUCGGAUCGUAAAGCUCUGUUGUUAAGGAAGAACGAGUGUGAGAAUGGAAAGUUCAUACUGUGACGGUACUUAACCAGAAAGCCACGGCUAACUACGUGCCAGCAGCCGCGGUAAUACGUAGGUGGCAAGCGUUGUCCGGAUUUAUUGGGCGUAAAGCGAGCGCAGGCGGUUAGAUAAGUCUGAAGUUAAAGGCAGUGGCUCAACCAUUGUAGGCUUUGGAAACUGUUUAACUUGAGUGCAGAAGGGGAGAGUGGAAUUCCAUGUGUAGCGGUGAAAUGCGUAGAUAUAUGGAGGAACACCGGUGGCGAAAGCGGCUCUCUGGUCUGUAACUGACGCUGAGGCUCGAAAGCGUGGGGAGCGAACAGG